ACACUUAGGCAAAAAGCCGAAAAAGAGGUCAAAACCCGCAUCGGCCGUCCGAAUGACACGCAAACACACACAUAGCACCGCGUAGGUAAUAGACACGCGUUAGAACUUACGGGACUCGAUUCCGACAUACGGAGACUGAGUUAUCGCCCAGUUUGCAAAACUCGCCAACAAUUAGGCAAAAAGACGAAAAACAGGUCAAAACCCGCAUCGGCCGUUCGAAUGACACGCAAACACACACAUAACACCGCGUAGGUAAUAGACAUGCAUUAGAACUUACGGGACUCGAUUCCGACAUACGGAGACCGAGUUAUCGCGGAGUUUGCAAAACUCGCCAACACUUGGGCAAAAAACCGAAAAUGAGGUCAAAACCCGCAUCUGCCAUCCGAAUGACACGAAUACACACAUAUAGCACCGUGCAAGUAAUAAACAUGCGUUAGAACUUACGGGACUCGUUUCUGACAUACGGAAACCGAGUUAUUGCCCAGUCUGCAAAACUCGCCAACACUUAGGCAAAAAGACGAAAAAGAGGUCAAAACUCGCAUCGGCCGUCCGAAUGACAUGCAAACACACACAUAGAACCGCGUAGGUAAUACACACGCAUUAGAACUUACGGGACUCGAUUCCGACAUACGGAGACCGAGUUAUCGCUUAAUUUGCAAAACACGCCAAUACUUAGGCAAAUAGCGGAAAAAGAGGUCAAAAACCCGCAUCAGCCGUUCGAAUGACACGCAAACACACACAUAACACCGCGUAGGUAAUAGUCAUGCAUUAGAACUUACGGGACUCGAUUCCGACAUGCGGAAACUGAGUUAUCGCCCAGUUUGCAAAACUCGCCAACACUUAGGCAAAAAGACGAAAAACAUGUCAAAACCCGCAUCGGCCGUUUGAAUGACACGCAAACACACACAUAGCACCGCGUAGGUAAUAGACACGCGUUAGAACUUACGGGACUCGAAUCCGACAUACGGAGACUGAGUUAUGGCCCAGUUUGCAAAACUCGUCAACACUUAGGCAAAAAGUCGAAAAAGGGGUCAAAAUCCACAUCGGUCGUUCGAAUGACACGCAAACCCACACAUAACACCGCGUAGGUAAUAGUCAUGCAUUAGAACUUACGGGACUCGAUUCCGACAUACGGAAACUGAGUUAUCGCCCAGUUUGCAAAACUCGUCAACACUUAGGCAAAAAGACGAAAAACAGGUCAAAACCCGCAUCGUCCGUUUGAAUGACACGCAAACACACACAUAGCACCGCGUAGGUAAUAGACACGCGUUAGAACUUACGGGACUCGAAUCCGACAUACGGAGACUGAGUUAUCGCCCAGUUUGCAAAACUCGUCAACACUUAGGCAAAAAAGUCGAAAAAGGGGUCAAAACUCGCAUCGGUCGUCCGAAUGACACGCAAACACACUAAUAGCACCGCGUAGGUAAGAGACACGCGUUAUAACUUAUGGGACUAGAUUCUGACAUACGGAGACCGAGUUAUCGCGGAGUUUGCAAAACUCGCCAACACUUGGGCAAAAAGCCGAAAAAGAGGUCAAAACCAACAUCUGCCGUCCAAAUGACACGAAUACACACAUAUAGCACCGUGCAGGUAAUAGACACGCGUUAGAACUUACGGGACUCGAUUCUGACAUACAGAGACCGAGUUAUCGCCUAGUUUGCAAAACUCGCAAACACUUAGGCAAAAAGACGAAAAACAGGUCAAAACCCGCAUCGGUCGUCUGAAUGACACGUAAACACACACAUAAAACCGCGUAGGUAAUAGUCAUGUAUUAGAACUUACGGGACUCGAUUCCGACAUACGAAGACUGAUUUAUCGCCCAGUUUGCAAAACUUGCCAACACUUAGGCAAAAAGACGAAAAAUAGGUCAAAACCCGCAUCGGCCGUCCGAAUGACACGCAAACACACACAUAGCACCGCGUAGGUAAUAGACACGCAUUAGAACUUACGGGACUCGAUUCCGACAUACGGAGACUGAGUUAUCGCCCAGUUUGCAAAACUCGCCAACACUUAGGCAAAAAGUCGAAAAAGGGGUCAAAACUCGCAUCGGUAGUCCGAAUGACACGCAAACACACUAAUAGCACCGCGUAGGUAAUAGACACGCGUUAGAACUUACGGGACUCGAUUCCGACAUACGGAGACCGAGUUAUCGCGGAGUUUGCAAAACUCGCCAACACUUGGGCAAAAAGCCGAAAAAGAGGUCAAAACCCGCAUCUGCCGUCCGAAUGACACGAAUACACACAUAUAGCACCGUGCAGGUAAUAGACAUGCGUUAGAACUUACGGGACACGAUUCUGACAUACGGAGACCGAGUUAUUGCCCAGUUUGCAAAACUCGCCAACACUUAGGCAAAAAGCCGAAAAAGACGGCCGUCCGAAUGACAUGCAAACACACACAUAGAACCGCGUAGGUACUAGACACGCUUUAGAACUUACGGGACUCGAUUCCGACAUACGAAGACCGAGUUAUCGCGGAGUUUGCAAAACUCGCCAACACUUGGGCAAAAAACCGAAAAAGAGGUCAAAACCCGCAUCUGCCAUCCGAAUGACACGAAUACACACAUAUAGCACCGUGCAGGUAAUAGACAUGCGUUAGAACUUACGGGACUCGUUUCUGACAUACGGAGACCGAGUUAUUGCCCAGUCUGCAAAACUCGUCAACACUUAGGUAAAAAGCCGAAAAAGAGGUUAAAACUCGCAUCGGCCGUCCGAAUGACAUGCAAACACACACAUAGAACCGCGUAGGUAAUAGACACGCAUUAGAACUUACGGGACUCGAUUCCGACAUACGAAGACCGGGUUAUCGCUUAAUUUGCAGAACACGCCAAUACUUAGGCAACUAGCGGAAAAAGAGGUCAAAAACCCGCAUCGGCCGUUCGAAUGACACGCAAACACAGACAUAACACCGCGUAGGUAAUAGUCAUGCAUUAGAACUUACGGGACUCGAUUCCGACAUACGGAAACUGAGUUAUCGCACAGUUUGCAAAACUCGCCAACACUUAGGCAAAAAGACGAAAAACAGGUCAAAACCCGCAUCGGCCGUUUGAAUGACACGCAAACACACACAUAGCACCGCGUAGGUUAUAGACACGCGUUAGAACUUACGGGACUCGAAUCCGACAUACGGAGACAGAGUUAUCGCCCAGUUUGCAAAACUCGUCAACACUUAGGCAAAAAGUCGAAAAAGGGGUCAAAACCCGCAUCGGCCGUUCGAAUGACACGCAAACACACAUAUAACACCGUGUAGGUAAUAGUCAUGCAUUAGAACUUACGGGACUCGAUUCCGACAUACGGAAACUGAGUUAUCGCCCAGUUUGUAAAACUCGCCAACACUUAGGCAAAAAGACGAAAAACAGGUUAAAACCCGCAUCGGCCGUUUGAAUGACACGCAAACACACACAUAGCACCGCGUAGGUAAUACACACGCGUUAGAACUUACGGGACUCGAAUCCGACAUACGGAGACUGAGUUAUCGCCCAGUUUGCAAAACUCGUCAACACUUAGGCAAAAAGCCGAAAAAGAGGUUAAAACUCGCAUCGGCCGUCCCAAUGACAUGCAAACACACACAUAGAACCGCGUAGGUAAUAGACACGCAUUAGAACUUACGGGACUCGAUUCCGACAUACGGAGACCGAGUUAUCGCCUAAUUUGCAAAACACGCCAAUACUUAGGCAAAAAGCGGAAAAAGAGGUCAAAAAACCGCGUAGGUAAUAGACACGCAUUAGAACUUACGGGACUCGAUUCCGAUAUACAGAGACCGAGUUAUCGCCUAGUUUGUAAAACUCGCCAACACUUAGGCAAAAAGCCGAAAAAGAGGUCAAAACCCGCAUCUGCCGUCCGAAUGACACGAAUACACAGAUAUAGCCCCGUGCAGGUAAUACACAUGCGUUAGAACUUACGGGACUCGAUUCUGACAUACGGAGACCGAGUUAUUGCCCAGUCUGCAAAACUCGCCAACACUUGGGCAAAAAGUCGAAAAAGGGGUCAAAACUCGCAUCGGUUGUCCGAAUGACACGCAAAUACAUUAAUAGCACCGCGUAGGUAAUAGACACGCGUUAGAACUUACUGGACUCGAUUCCGACAAACGAAGACUGAGUUAUCGCUCAGUUUGCAAAACUCGCCAACACUUAGGCAAGAAGCCGAAAAAGAGGUCAAAACUCGCAUCGGCCGUCCGAAUGACGGCCGUCCGAAUGACAUGCACACACACACAUAGAACCGCGUAGGUAAUAGACACGCGUUAGAACUUACGGGACUCGAUUCUGACAUACGGAGACCGAGUUAUCGCGGAGUUUGCAAAACUCGCCAACACUUAGGCGAAAAGUCGAAAAAGGGGUCAAAACUCGUAUCGGUAGUCCGAAUGACACGCAAACACACUAAUAGCACCGCGUAGGUAAUAGACACGCGUUAGAACUUACGGGACUCGAUUCUGACAUACGGAGACCGAGUUAUCGCGGAGUUUGCAAAACUCGCCAACACUUAGGCGAAAAGUCGAAAAAGGGGUCAAAACUCGUAUCGGUAGUCCGAAUGACACGCAAACACACUAAUAGCACCGCGUAGGUAAUAGACACGCGUUAGAACUUACGGGACUCGAUUCUGACAUACGGAGACCGAGUUAUCGCGGAGUUUGCAAAACUCGCCAACACUUAGGCGAAAAGUCGAAAAAGGGGUCAAAACUCGUAUCGGUAGUCCGAAUGACACGCAAACACACUAAUAGCACCGCGUAGGUAAUAGACACGCGUUAGAACUUACGGGACUCGAUUCUGACAUACGGAGACCGAGUUAUCGCGGAGUUUGCAAAACUCGCCAACACUUAGGCGAAAAGUCGAAAAAGGGGUCAAAACUCGUAUCGGUAGUCCGAAUGACACGCAAACACACUAAUAGCACCGCGUAGGUAAUAGACACGCGUUAGAACUUACGGGACUCGAUUCUGACAUACGGAGACCGAGUUAUCGCGGAGUUUGCAAAACUCGCCAACACUUAGGCGAAAAGUCGAAAAAGGGGUCAAAACUCGUAUCGGUAGUCCGAAUGACACGCAAACACACUAAUAGCACCGCGUAGGUAAUAGACACGCGUUAGAACUUACGGGACUCGAUUCUGACAUACGGAGACCGAGUUAUCGCGGAGUUUGCAAAACUCACCAACACUUGGGCAAAAAGCCGAAAAAGAGGUCAAAACCCGCAUCUGCCUUCUGAAUGACAUGCAAACACACAUAGAACCGCGUAGGUAAUAGACACGCAUUAGAACUUACGGGACUCGAUUCCGACAUACGAAGACCGAGUUAUCGCGGAGUUUGCAAAACUCGCCAACACUUGGGCAAAAAGCCCAAAAAGAGGUCAAAACCCGCAUCUGCCGUUUGAAUGACACGAAUACACAGAUAUAGCACCGUGCAGGUAAUAGACACGCGUUAGAACUUACGGGACUCGAUUCUGACAUACGGAGACCGAGUUAUUGCGCAGUUUGCAAAACUCGCCAACACUUAGGCAAAAAGUCGAAAAAGGGGUCAAAACUUGCAUCGGUAGUCCGAAUGACACGCAAACACACUAAUAGCAUCGCGUAGGUAAUAGACACGCGUUAGAACUUACGAGACUCGAUUCCGACAUACGGAGACCGAGUUAUCGCGGAGUUUGCAAAACUCGCCAACACUUGGGCAAAGAGCCGAAAAAGAGGUCAAAACCCGCAUCUGCCGUCCGAAUGACACGAAUACACACAUAUAGCACCGUGCAGGUAAUAGACACGCGUUAGAACUUACGAGACUCGAUUCCGACAUACGGAGACCGAGUUAUCGCGGAGUUUGCAAAACUCGCCAACACUUGGGCAAAGAGCCGAAAAAGAGGUCAAAACCCGCAUCUGCCGUCCGAAUGACACGAAUACACACAUAUAGCACCGUGCAGGUAAUAGACACGCGUUAGAACUUACGAGACUCGAUUCCGACAUACGGAGACCGAGUUAUCGCGGAGUUUGCAAAACUCGCCAACACUUGGGCAAAGAGCCGAAAAAGAGGUCAAAACCCGCAUCUGCCGUCCGAAUGACACGAAUACACACAUAUAGCACCGUGCAGGUAAUAGACACGCGUUAGAACUUACGAGACUCGAUUCCGACAUACGGAGACCGAGUUAUCGCGGAGUUUGCAAAACUCGCCAACACUUGGGCAAAGAGCCGAAAAAGAGGUCAAAACCCGCAUCUGCCGUCCGAAUGACACGAAUACACACAUAUAGCACCGUGCAGGUAAUAGACACGCGUUAGAACUUACGAGACUCGAUUCCGACAUACGGAGACCGAGUUAUCGCGGAGUUUGCAAAACUCGCCAACACUUGGGCAAAGAGCCGAAAAAGAGGUCAAAACCCGCAUCUGCCGUCCGAAUGACACGAAUACACACAUAUAGCACCGUGCAGGUAAUAGACACGCGUUAGAACUUACGAGACUCGAUUCCGACAUACGGAGACCGAGUUAUCGCGGAGUUUGCAAAACUCGCCAACACUUGGGCAAAGAGCCGAAAAAGAGGUCAAAACCCGCAUCUGCCGUCCGAAUGACACGAAUACACACAUAUAGCACCGUGCAGGUAAUAGACACGCGUUAGAACUUACGAGACUCGAUUCCGACAUACGGAGACCGAGUUAUCGCGGAGUUUGCAAAACUCGCCAACACUUGGGCAAAGAGCCGAAAAAGAGGUCAAAACCCGCAUCUGCCGUCCGAAUGACACGAAUACACACAUAUAGCACCGUGCAGGUAAUAGACACGCGUUAGAACUUACGAGACUCGAUUCCGACAUACGGAGACCGAGUUAUCGCGGAGUUUGCAAAACUCGCCAACACUUGGGCAAAGAGCCGAAAAAGAGGUCAAAACCCGCAUCUGCCGUCCGAAUGACACGAAUACACACAUAUAGCACCGUGCAGGUAAUAGACACGCGUUAGAACUUACGAGACUCGAUUCCGACAUACGGAGACCGAGUUAUCGCGGAGUUUGCAAAACUCGCCAACACUUGGGCAAAGAGCCGAAAAAGAGGUCAAAACCCGCAUCUGCCGUCCGAAUGACACGAAUACACACAUAUAGCACCGUGCAGGUAAUAGACACGCGUUAGAACUUACGAGACUCGAUUCCGACAUACGGAGACCGAGUUAUCGCGGAGUUUGCAAAACUCGCCAACACUUGGGCAAAGAGCCGAAAAAGAGGUCAAAACCCGCAUCUGCCGUCCGAAUGACACGAAUACACACAUAUAGCACCGUGCAGGUAAUAGACACGCGUUAGAACUUACGAGACUCGAUUCCGACAUACGGAGACCGAGUUAUCGCGGAGUUUGCAAAACUCGCCAACACUUGGGCAAAGAGCCGAAAAAGAGGUCAAAACCCGCAUCUGCCGUCCGAAUGACACGAAUACACACAUAUAGCACCGUGCAGGUAAUAGACACGCGUUAGAACUUACGAGACUCGAUUCCGACAUACGGAGACCGAGUUAUCGCGGAGUUUGCAAAACUCGCCAACACUUGGGCAAAGAGCCGAAAAAGAGGUCAAAACCCGCAUCUGCCGUCCGAAUGACACGAAUACACACAUAUAGCACCGUGCAGGUAAUAGACACGCGUUAGAACUUACGAGACUCGAUUCCGACAUACGGAGACCGAGUUAUCGCGGAGUUUGCAAAACUCGCCAACACUUGGGCAAAGAGCCGAAAAAGAGGUCAAAACCCGCAUCUGCCGUCCGAAUGACACGAAUACACACAUAUAGCACCGUGCAGGUAAUAGACACGCGUUAGAACUUACGAGACUCGAUUCCGACAUACGGAGACCGAGUUAUCGCGGAGUUUGCAAAACUCGCCAACACUUGGGCAAAGAGCCGAAAAAGAGGUCAAAACCCGCAUCUGCCGUCCGAAUGACACGAAUACACACAUAUAGCACCGUGCAGGUAAUAGACACGCGUUAGAACUUACGAGACUCGAUUCCGACAUACGGAGACCGAGUUAUCGCGGAGUUUGCAAAACUCGCCAACACUUGGGCAAAGAGCCGAAAAAGAGGUCAAAACCCGCAUCUGCCGUCCGAAUGACACGAAUACACACAUAUAGCACCGUGCAGGUAAUAGACACGCGUUAGAACUUACGAGACUCGAUUCCGACAUACGGAGACCGAGUUAUCGCGGAGUUUGCAAAACUCGCCAACACUUGGGCAAAGAGCCGAAAAAGAGGUCAAAACCCGCAUCUGCCGUCCGAAUGACACGAAUACACACAUAUAGCACCGUGCAGGUAAUAGACACGCGUUAGAACUUACGAGACUCGAUUCCGACAUACGGAGACCGAGUUAUCGCGGAGUUUGCAAAACUCGCCAACACUUGGGCAAAAAGUCGAAAAAGGGGUCAAAACUUGCAUCGGCCGUCCGAAUGACAUGCAAACACACACAUAGAACCGCGUAGGUAAUAGACACGCAUUAGAACUUACGGGACUCGAUUCCGACAUACAGAGACCGAGUUAUCGCCAAGUUUGCAAAACUCGCCAACACUUAGGCAAAAAGACGAAAAAUAGGUCAAAACCCGCAUCGGUCGUCUGAAUGACACUUAAACACACACAUAACACCGCGUAGGUAAAAGUCAUGUAUUAGAACUUACGGGACUCGAUUCCGACAUACGGAGACUGAUUUAUCGCCCAGUUUGCAAAACUUGCCAACACUUAGGCAAAAAGCCGAAAAAGAGGCCAAAACCCGCAUCGUCCGUCCGGACGCCACGCAAACACACACAUAGCACCGCGUAGGUAUUAGACACGUGUUAGAACUUACGGGACUCGAUUCCGACAUACGGAAUCCGAGUUAUCGUCCAGUUUGCAAAACUCGCCAACACUUAGGCAAAAAGCCGAAAAACAGCCCAAAACCCGCAUCGGACGUCCGAAUGCCACGCAAACACACACAUAGCACCGCGUAGGUAUUAGACACGUGUUAGAACUUACGGGACUCGAUUCCGACAUACGGAAUCCGAGUUAUCGUCCAGUUUGCAAAACUCGCCAACACUUAGGCAAAAAGCCGAAAAACAGCCCAAAACCCGCAUCGGACGUCCGAAUGCCACGCAAACACACACAUAGCACCGCGUAGGUAUUAGACACGUGUUAGAACUUACGGGACUCGAUUCCGACAUACGGAAUCCGAGUUAUCGUCCAGUUUGCAAAACUCGCCAACACUUAGGCAAAAAGCCGAAAAACAGCCCAAAACCCGCAUCGGACGUCCGAAUGCCACGCAAACACACACAUAGCACCGCGUAGGUAUUAGACACGUGUUAGAACUUACGGGACUCGAUUCCGACAUACGGAAUCCGAGUUAUCGUCCAGUUUGCAAAACUCGCCAACACUUAGGCAAAAAGCCGAAAAACAGCCCAAAACCCGCAUCGGACGUCCGAAUGCCACGCAAACACACACAUAGCACCGCGUAGGUAUUAGACACGUGUUAGAACUUACGGGACUCGAUUCCGACAUACGGAAUCCGAGUUAUCGUCCAGUUUGCAAAACUCGCCAACACUUAGGCAAAAAGCCGAAAAACAGCCCAAAACCCGCAUCGGACGUCCGAAUGCCACGCAAACACACACAUAGCACCGCGUAGGUAUUAGACACGUGUUAGAACUUACGGGACUCGAUUCCGACAUACGGAAUCCGAGUUAUCGUCCAGUUUGCAAAACUCGCCAACACUUAGGCAAAAAGCCGAAAAACAGCCCAAAACCCGCAUCGGACGUCCGAAUGCCACGCAAACACACACAUAGCACCGCGUAGGUAUUAGACACGUGUUAGAACUUACGGGACUCGAUUCCGACAUACGGAAUCCGAGUUAUCGUCCAGUUUGCAAAACUCGCCAACACUUAGGCAAAAAGCCGAAAAACAGCCCAAAACCCGCAUCGGACGUCCGAAUGCCACGCAAACACACACAUAGCACCGCGUAGGUAUUAGACACGUGUUAGAACUUACGGGACUCGAUUCCGACAUACGGAAUCCGAGUUAUCGUCCAGUUUGCAAAACUCGCCAACACUUAGGCAAAAAGCCGAAAAACAGCCCAAAACCCGCAUCGGACGUCCGAAUGCCACGCAAACACACACAUAGCACCGCGUAGGUAUUAGACACGUGUUAGAACUUACGGGACUCGAUUCCGACAUACGGAAUCCGAGUUAUCGUCCAGUUUGCAAAACUCGCCAACACUUAGGCAAAAAGCCGAAAAACAGCCCAAAACCCGCAUCGGACGUCCGAAUGCCACGCAAACACACACAUAGCACCGCGUAGGUAUUAGACACGUGUUAGAACUUACGGGACUCGAUUCCGACAUACGGAAUCCGAGUUAUCGUCCAGUUUGCAAAACUCGCCAACACUUAGGCAAAAAGCCGAAAAACAGCCCAAAACCCGCAUCGGACGUCCGAAUGCCACGCAAACACACACAUAGCACCGCGUAGGUAUUAGACACGUGUUAGAACUUACGGGACUCGAUUCCGACAUACGGAAUCCGAGUUAUCGUCCAGUUUGCAAAACUCGCCAACACUUAGGCAAAAAGCCGAAAAACAGCCCAAAACCCGCAUCGGACGUCCGAAUGCCACGCAAACACACACAUAGCACCGCGUAGGUAUUAGACACGUGUUAGAACUUACGGGACUCGAUUCCGACAUACGGAAUCCGAGUUAUCGUCCAGUUUGCAAAACUCGCCAACACUUAGGCAAAAAGCCGAAAAACAGCCCAAAACCCGCAUCGGACGUCCGAAUGCCACGCAAACACACACAUAGCACCGCGUAGGUAUUAGACACGUGUUAGAACUUACGGGACUCGAUUCCGACAUACGGAAUCCGAGUUAUCGUCCAGUUUGCAAAACUCGCCAACACUUAGGCAAAAAGCCGAAAAACAGCCCAAAACCCGCAUCGGACGUCCGAAUGCCACGCAAACACACACAUAGCACCGCGUAGGUAUUAGACACGUGUUAGAACUUACGGGACUCGAUUCCGACAUACGGAAUCCGAGUUAUCGUCCAGUUUGCAAAACUCGCCAACACUUAGGCAAAAAGCCGAAAAACAGCCCAAAACCCGCAUCGGACGUCCGAAUGCCACGCAAACACACACAUAGCACCGCGUAGGUAUUAGACACGUGUUAGAACUUACGGGACUCGAUUCCGACAUACGGAAUCCGAGUUAUCGUCCAGUUUGCAAAACUCGCCAACACUUAGGCAAAAAGCCGAAAAACAGCCCAAAACCCGCAUCGGACGUCCGAAUGCCACGCAAACACACACAUAGCACCGCGUAGGUAUUAGACACGUGUUAGAACUUACGGGACUCGAUUCCGACAUACGGAAUCCGAGUUAUCGUCCAGUUUGCAAAACUCGCCAACACUUAGGCAAAAAGCCGAAAAACAGCCCAAAACCCGCAUCGGACGUCCGAAUGCCACGCAAACACACACAUAGCACCGCGUAGGUAUUAGACACGUGUUAGAACUUACGGGACUCGAUUCCGACAUACGGAAUCCGAGUUAUCGUCCAGUUUGCAAAACUCGCCAACACUUAGGCAAAAAGCCGAAAAACAGCCCAAAACCCGCAUCGGACGUCCGAAUGCCACGCAAACACACACAUAGCACCGCGUAGGUAUUAGACACGUGUUAGAACUUACGGGACUCGAUUCCGACAUACGGAAUCCGAGUUAUCGUCCAGUUUGCAAAACUCGCCAACACUUAGGCAAAAAGCCGAAAAACAGCCCAAAACCCGCAUCGGACGUCCGAAUGCCACGCAAACACACACAUAGCACCGCGUAGGUAUUAGACACGUGUUAGAACUUACGGGACUCGAUUCCGACAUACGGAAUCCGAGUUAUCGUCCAGUUUGCAAAACUCGCCAACACUUAGGCAAAAAGCCGAAAAACAGCCCAAAACCCGCAUCGGACGUCCGAAUGCCACGCAAACACACACAUAGCACCGCGUAGGUAUUAGACACGUGUUAGAACUUACGGGACUCGAUUCCGACAUACGGAAUCCGAGUUAUCGUCCAGUUUGCAAAACUCGCCAACACUUAGGCAAAAAGCCGAAAAACAGCCCAAAACCCGCAUCGGACGUCCGAAUGCCACGCAAACACACACAUAGCACCGCGUAGGUAUUAGACACGUGUUAGAACUUACGGGACUCGAUUCCGACAUACGGAAUCCGAGUUAUCGUCCAGUUUGCAAAACUCGCCAACACUUAGGCAAAAAGCCGAAAAACAGCCCAAAACCCGCAUCGGACGUCCGAAUGCCACGCAAACACACACAUAGCACCGCGUAGGUAUUAGACACGUGUUAGAACUUACGGGACUCGAUUCCGACAUACGGAAUCCGAGUUAUCGUCCAGUUUGCAAAACUCGCCAACACUUAGGCAAAAAGCCGAAAAACAGCCCAAAACCCGCAUCGGACGUCCGAAUGCCACGCAAACACACACAUAGCACCGCGUAGGUAUUAGACACGUGUUAGAACUUACGGGACUCGAUUCCGACAUACGGAAUCCGAGUUAUCGUCCAGUUUGCAAAACUCGCCAACACUUAGGCAAAAAGCCGAAAAACAGCCCAAAACCCGCAUCGGACGUCCGAAUGCCACGCAAACACACACAUAGCACCGCGUAGGUAUUAGACACGUGUUAGAACUUACGGGACUCGAUUCCGACAUACGGAAUCCGAGUUAUCGUCCAGUUUGCAAAACUCGCCAACACUUAGGCAAAAAGCCGAAAAACAGCCCAAAACCCGCAUCGGACGUCCGAAUGCCACGCAAACACACACAUAGCACCGCGUAGGUAUUAGACACGUGUUAGAACUUACGGGACUCGAUUCCGACAUACGGAAUCCGAGUUAUCGUCCAGUUUGCAAAACUCGCCAACACUUAGGCAAAAAGCCGAAAAACAGCCCAAAACCCGCAUCGGACGUCCGAAUGCCACGCAAACACACACAUAGCACCGCGUAGGUAUUAGACACGUGUUAGAACUUACGGGACUCGAUUCCGACAUACGGAAUCCGAGUUAUCGUCCAGUUUGCAAAACUCGCCAACACUUAGGCAAAAAGCCGAAAAACAGCCCAAAACCCGCAUCGGACGUCCGAAUGCCACGCAAACACACACAUAGCACCGCGUAGGUAUUAGACACGUGUUAGAACUUACGGGACUCGAUUCCGACAUACGGAAUCCGAGUUAUCGUCCAGUUUGCAAAACUCGCCAACACUUAGGCAAAAAGCCGAAAAAGAGGUCAAAACCCGCAUCGGCCGUUCGAAUGACACGCAAACACACACAUAGCACCGCGUAGGCAAUAUACACCCGUUAGAACUGACGGGACUCGAUUCUGAUAUAUGGAGGCCGAGUUAUCGCCUAGUUUGCAAAACUCGUCAACACCUAGACAAAAAGCCGAAUAAGAGGUCAAAACUCGCAUCGGCAGUUCGAAUGACACGCAAACACACACAUAACACCGCCUAGGUAAUAGACACGGGUUAGAACUGACGGCCCUCGAUUCUGACAUACGGAGACCGAGUUAUAGCCCAGUUUGCAAAACUCGCCAAAACUUAGGCAAAAAGCCGAAAAAGAGGUCAAAACCCGCAUCGGUAGUCCGAAUGACUCGCAAACACACUAAUAGCACCGCGUAGGUAAUUGACAAGCGUUAGAACUUACGGGACUCGAUUCCGACAUACGGAGACCGAGUUAUCGCGGAGUUUGCAAAACUCGCCAACACUUGGGCAGAAAGCCGAAAAAGAGGUCAAAACCCGCAUCUGCCGUCCGAAUGACACGAAUACACACAUAUAGCACCGUGCAGGUAAUAGACAUGCGUUAGAACUUACGGGACUCGAUUCUGACAUACGGAGACCGAGUUAUUGCCUAGUCUGCAAAACUCGCCAACACUUAGGCAAAAAGCCGAAAAAGAGGUCAAAACUCGCAUCGGCCGUCCGAAUAACAUGCAAACACACACAUAGAACCGCGUAGGUAAUAGACACGCAUUAGAACUUACGGGACUCGAUUCCGACAUACGGAGACCGAGUUAUCGCGGAGUUUGCAAAACUCGCCAACACUUGGACAAAAAGCCGAAAAAGAGGUCAAAACCCGCAUCUGCCGUCCGAAUGACACGAAUACACAGAUAUAGCACCGUGCAGGUAAUAUACAUGCGUUAGAACUUAUGGGUCUCGAUUCUGACAUACGGAGACCGAGUUAUUGCCUAGUCUGCAAAACUCGCCAACACUUAGGCAAAAAGCCGAAAAAGAGGUCAAAACUCGCAUCGGCNNNNNNNNNNNNNNNNNNNNNNNNNNNNNNNNNNNNNNNNNNNNNNNNNNNNNNNNNNNNNNNNNNNNNNNNNNNNNNNNNNNNNNNNNNNNNNNNNNNNNNNNNNNNNNNNNNNNNNNNNNNNNNNNNNNNNNNNNNNNNNNNNNNNNNNNNNNNNNNNNNNNNNNNNNNNNNNNNNNNNNNNNNNNNNNNNNNNNNNNNNNNNNNNNNNNNNNNNNNNNNNNNNNNNNNNNNNNNNNNNNNNNNNNNNNNNNNNNNNNNNNNNNNNNNNNNNNNNNNNNNNNNNNNNNNNNNNNNNNNNNNNNNNNNNNNNNNNNNNNNNNNNNNNNNNNNNNNNNNNNNNNNNNNNNNNNNNNNNNNNNNNNNNNNNNNNNNNNNNNNNNNNNNNNNNNNNNNNNNNNNNNNNNNNNNNNNNNNNNNNNNNNNNNNNNNNNNNNNNNNNNNNNNNNNNNNNNNNNNNNNNNNNNNNNNNNNNNNNNNNNNNNNNNNNNNNNNNNNNNNNNNNNNNNNNNNNNNNNNNNNNNNNNNNNNNNNNNNNNNNNNNNNNNNNNNNNNNNNNNNNNNNNNNNNNNNNNNNNNNNNNNNNNNNNNNNNNNNNNNNNNNNNNNNNNNNNNNNNNNNNNNNNNNNNNNNNNNNNNNNNNNNNNNNNNNNNNNNNNNNNNNNNNNNNNNNNNNNNNNNNNNNNNNNNNNNNNNNNNNNNNNNNNNNNNNNNNNNNNNNNNNNNNNNNNNNNNNNNNNNNNNNNCGUAGGUAAUAGUCAUGUAUUAGAACUUAUGGGACUCGAUUCCGACAUACGGAGACUGAUUUAUCGCCCAGUUUGCAAAACUUGCCA
rnacentral:lncRNA from 1 species